rnacentral:rRNA from 1 species
AACGAACGCUGGCGGCAUGCCUAACACAUGCAAGUCUAACGAGACCUUCGGGUCUAGUGGCGCACGGGUGCGUAACGCGUGGGAACCUGCCCUUAGGUUCGGAAUAACUCCCCGAAAGGGGUGCUAAUACCGGAUAAUGUCUUCGGACCAAAGAUUUAUCGCCUUUGGAUGGGCCCGCGUUGGAUUAGCUAGUUGGUAGGGUAAAAGCCUACCAAGGCGACGAUCCAUAGCUGGUCUGAGAGGAUGAUCAGCCACACUGGGACUGAGACACGGCCAGACUCCUACGGGAGGCAGCAGUGGGGAAUAUUGGACAAUGGGCGAAAGCCUGAUCCAGCAAUGCCGCGUGAGUGAUGAAGGCCUUAGGGUUGUAAAGCUCUUUUACCCGGGAUGAUAAUGACAGUACCGGGAGAAUAAGCUCCGGCUAACUCCGUG